rnacentral:misc_RNA from 1 species
GAAAUGCGAUAAGUAAUGUGAAUUGCAGAAUUCAGUGAAUCAUCGAAUCUUUGAACGCACAUUGCGCCCGCCAGUAUUCUGGCGGGCAUGCCUGUUCGAGCGUCAUUUCAGCCAUCAAGCCCCCGGGCUUGUGUUGGGGACCCGCGGCUGCCGCGGGCCCUGAAAGACAGUGGCGGUCUCGCUGUAGCACCGAGCGUAGUAGCAUACACCUCGCUCCGGUCGCGCGGCGGGCUUCCGGCCGUAAAACCCCCCCCUUCUAACACAAGGUUGACCUCGGAUCAGGUAGGAAUACCCGCUGAACUUAA